CACGUAGGCUGUCCUGUAAGCGGUGUGUGAAAGCCCGGGGCUCAACCCCGGAACUGCAUACCGAACUGCAGGGCUAGAGGACGAGAGGGGAGUAUGGAACUCUAGGUGGAGCGGUGAAAUGCGUAGAUAUCUAGAGGAACGCCGGUGGCGAAAGCGAUACUCUGGCUCGUCCCUGACGCUGAGGUGCGAAAGCGUGGGUAGCAAACAGGAUUAGAUACCCUGGUAGUC
rnacentral:rRNA from 1 species